rnacentral:rRNA from 1 species
CAAUUCCGCCACCCCAUACCCAUGCAAGUCGAGCGGAUGAGGGAGCUUGCUCCUGGAUUCAGCGGCGGACGGGUGCAGUAAUGCCUAGGAAUCUGCCUGGUAGUGGGGGAUAACGUCCGCGUAAACGGGCGCUAAUACCGCAUACGUCCUGAGGGAGAAAGUGGGGGAUCUUCGGACCUCACGCUAUCAGAUGAGCCUAGGUCGGAUUAGCUAGUUGGUGGGGUAAAGGCCUACCAAGGCGACGAUCCGUAACUGGUCUGAGAGGAUGAUCAGUCACACUGGAACUGAGACACGGUCCAGACUCCUACGGGAGGCAGCAGUGGGGAAUAUUGGACAAUGGGCGAAAGCCUGAUCCAGCCAUGCCGCGUGUGUGAAGAAGGUCUUCGGAUUGUAAAGCACUUUAAGUUGGGAGGAAGGGCAGUAAGUUAAUACCUUGCUGUUUUGACGUUACCAACAGAAUAAGCACCGGCUAACUUCGUGCCAGCAGCCGCGGUAAUACGAAGGGUGCAAGCGUUAAUCGGAAUUACUGGGCGUAAAGCGCGCGUAGGUGGUUCAGCAAGUUGGAUGUGAAAUCCCCGGGCUCAACCUGGGAACUGCAUCCAAAACUACUGAGCUAGAGUACGGUAGAGGGUGGUGGAAUUUCCCUGUGUAGCGGUGAAAUGCGUAAUAUAGGAAUGAACACCAGUGGCGAAGGCGACCACCUGGACUGAUACUGACACUGAGUGCGAAAGCGUGGGGAGCAACAGGAUUUAGAUAACC